rnacentral:rRNA from 1 species
GCUUAACACAUGCAAGUCGAGCGAAGCACUUUUGCGGAUUUCUUCGGAUUGAAGCAAUUGUGACUGAGCGGCGGACGGGUGAGUAACGCGUGGGUAACCUGCCUCAUACAGGGGGAUAACAGUUGGAAACGGCUGCUAAUACCGCAUAAGCGCACAGUACCGCAUGGUACCGUGUGAAAAACUCCGGUGGUAUGAGAUGGACCCGCGUCUGAUUAGGUAGUUGGUGGGGUAACGGCCUACCAAGCCGACGAUCAGUAGCCGACCUGAGAGGGUGACCGGCCACAUUGGGACUGAGACACGGCCCAAACUCCUACGGGAGGCAGCAGUGGGGAAUAUUGCACAAUGGGGGAAACCCUGAUGCAGCGACGCCGCGUGAGCGAUGAAGUAUUUCGGUAUGUAAAGCUCUAUCAGCAGGGAAGAAAAUGACGGUACCUGACUAAGAAGCCCCGGCUAACUACGUGCCAGCAGCCGCGGUAAUACGUAGGGGGCAAGCGUUAUCCGGAUUUACUAGGUGUAAAGGGAGCGUAGACGGCAUGGCAAGCCAGAUGUGAAAGCCCGGGGCUCAACCCCGGGACUGCAUUUGGAACUGUCAGGCUAGAGUGUCGGAGAGGAAAGCGGAAUUCCUAGUGUAGCGGUGAAAUGCGUAGAUAUUAGGAGGAACACCAGUGGCGAAGGCGGCUUUCUGGACGAUGACUGACGUUGAGGCUCGAAAGCGUGGGGAGCAAACAAAAUUAGAUACCCUGGUAGUCCACGCCGUAAACGAUGAAUAAUAGGUGUCGGGGGGCAAAGCCAUUCGGUGCCGCAACCAAACGCAAUAAGUAAUCCCCUGGGGAGUACGUUCGCAAGAAAGAAACUCAAAGGAAUUGACGGGGACCCGCACAAGCGGUGGAGCAUGUGGUUUGAUUCGAAGCAACGCGAAGAACCUUACCUGGUCUUGACAUCCCUCUGACCGCUCUUUAAUCGGAGCUUUCCUUCGGGACAGAGGAGACAGGUGGUGCAUGGUUGUCGUCAGCUCGUGUCGUGAGAUGUUGGGUUAAGUCCCGCAACGAGCGCAACCCCUAUCUUUAGUAGCCAGCAUUUAAGGUGGGCACUCUAGAGAGACUGCCAGGGAUAACCUGGAGGAAGGUGGGGAUGACGUCAAAUCAUCAUGCCCCUUAUGACCAGGGCUACACACGUGCUACAAUGGCGUAAACAAAGGGAAGCGAGCCCGCGAGGGGGAGCAAAUCCCAAAAAUAACGUCUCAGUUCGGAUUGUAGUCUGCAACUCGACUACAUGAAGCUGGAAUCGCUAGUAAUCGCGAAUCAGAAUGUCGCGGUGAAUACGUUCCCGGGUCUUGCACACAGCGCCCGUC